GAUGAACGCUGGCGGCGCGCUUAACACAUGCAAGUCGAACGAAGCACUUUAACUUGAUUUCUUCGGAAAGAUUGUUAUUGUGACUGAGUGGCGGACGGGUGAGUAACGCGUGGGUAACCUGCCUCAUACAGGGGGAUAACAGUUGGAAACGGCUGCUAAUACCGCAUAAGCGCACAGUACCGCAUGGUACGGUGGGAAAAACUCCGGUGGCGUGAGAUGGACCCGCGUCUGAUUAGCUAGUUGGCAGGGCAGCGGCCUACCAAGGCGACGAUCAGUAGCCGACCUGAGAGGGUGACCGGCCACAUUGGGACUGAGACACGGCCCAAACUCCUACGGGAGGCAGCAGUGGGGAAUAUUGCACAAUGGGGGAAACCCUGAUGCAGCGACGCCGCGUGAGCGAAGAAGUAUUUCGGUAUGUAAAGCUCUAUCAGCAGGGAAGAAAAAAUGACGGUACCUGACUAAGGAGCACCGGCUAAAUACGUGCCAGCCGCCGCCGUAA
rnacentral:rRNA from 1 species